rnacentral:lncRNA from 1 species
UUGAUGGAUGAUUUUGGAUUGCAUUUUUAAUAAAGGUUUUUAUCACAAAUAUAAAACAAAAUGAUCAAAUGACCACAAUAUGUUGGCAUUAUAGAGAUAAAAAUCAUGAUCAGUUUCCAUCUCUUUCUGUUUUACUACAAGUACACUCUCCUUGACGAUUAAUGACCCCUUAUCUGACCUUCUUUAUACUCCUAAGAUACAUAGAUGUUUUCAAAUGGCUUGUUCUAUCAAAAGAAGAUGUGAGACCUCAAAAUCAGUGUUAUGUUUCUAAUGAUAAUGUUAAGCUCAUAAUCAUUUACUUGUCCUAGUCACUCUAUUGAAUGGAUUACAUGUGUUCUAACUUGCAGAGGGCCAGUGUGGUGAGACAGGAGCUUGCAAGCCUCAAGAAAGAGAUUACCAUUUGAUGGGGGGUUUUGAGAUGAUCCCACGCCUUGAUAUUUAUCGUUGGUACAAGUUUGAAGAAUUUUGGAAAUGAUAGUUCAGGACUUGAAACUCUUUUUUUCUGGUUUAGACAUUUAUUGCCCUCUUUUGA